AUUGAACGCUGGCGGCAGGCCUAACACAUGCAAGUCGAGCGAGCGGCGGACGGGUGAGUAAUGUCUGGGAAACUGCCUGAUGGAGGGGGAUAACUACUGGAAACGGUAGCUAAUACCGCAUACCAUCAGAUGUGCCCAGAUGGGAUGAGCUAGUAGGUGGGGUAACGGCUCACCUAGGCGACGCUCCCUAGCUGGUCUGAGAGGAGGACCAGCCACACUGGAACUGAGACACGGUCCAGACUCCUACGGGAGGCAGCAGGGGGGAAUAUUGCACAGUGGGCGCAAGCCUGAAGCAGCCAGGCCGCGUGUGUGAAGAGGGCCUUCGGGUUGUAAAGCACUUUCAGCGGGGAGGCGUUACCCGCAGAAGAAGCACCGGCUAACUCCGUGCCAGCCGCCGCGGUAUUC
rnacentral:rRNA from 1 species